UCAAGGCUAGCCCUGUGAAAAGGUGCAAGAAACUGUUCAGCUUUUAACAAUUGCUUAAAGUAUACUCCUGUGAACAAAAUUUGGAGCAUAUUUCUCUCUACCUGAUUUCUCCAGGAUUUGGACACUCUUUAGAAUCCAAUUGAAUGCUAUUAUAGUUUGGAUAUUUGACCCUCCAACCAGCAUGUUGAAAUUUGAUCCACAAUGUUGGAGGUGGGGCCUAAUUGGAGGUGUUUGGAUCAUGGUGGUGGAUACUUCAUGAAUGGCUUGCUACUGUCCUCCUGGAAAUUAGUCAAGGGCCAUUGACUUCCAGACUUUCUUGAUGGAGUUCCACUGCAGCUCUGGCUUAAUUUUCUUCUUCUAUGGCCAGGAAUCCUCCUAGAUGAUGAGAUAGAUGCCAUUUUCUGUGCUCAGCAGCUCUUACCUGGACUUCUCUUCCAGAUGCAGUAGCCAUGAAGAGACGUGCCUUGCUCCACCUUCACCUUCGACCAUAAUUUGUGAGAAUGCAGCAACAAGGUGCCAGCUAUGAAGCAAAGAGCCCUUACCAGACAAUGAAUCUACUGACAACUUGAUCUUGGACUCUUCAGCUUCCCAAACUGGUUACCAACUAUAUCACAUAAUGGUCCUAAGGAUUAAAUGAAAAAAAAUGCAGUAAGAUAAAGCUGAUUUAUCAAGGUUGGGGAAAUGCAAUAAAGAAAGAGGUUAAUAAUUCACAGAGCCAGCUGAAUAGAAUACCAGAGUUUUAUUUCUACACAAAUCAGUCUCCCAGCCAUGGUCCAGGCUUGAGGGUGGAGCCCUCACGAGAGACCUCACCAUUUUCUACCUAGUAUUUCCCUGUCUCCUGUCUAUAUCGCAGAGCAUUAAAUUGAAGCCAAGGGACUGAAAUAAGAAACUCCAGAGAACAACAAGAGGAACUGAAAUUGCAUGGUCAUUAGAAGGCAUCUUAAGAAUAACUGUGUAGCAGAGAAUGAGGACUCAUAUCAAAGUUUGAUUCUUUUAGUAUUGGAUUUUAUGAUGCAAUGGAAAAGAUACAUAGGGGAUCAAAUACAUAUGAUGGUGGAAGUGAAAACCAUUCCUUUGUGCUUCCUUGUUUCCUGAAGGGGUGCCUCUGAAAUUCAGUGAUCUCAACAGGCCACGUGGAGAGAGAGGUCUGCUUGGACACAUAAGCCCAGACAUGCAUGCCACUUGCUCUCUUUUUUCCCAUUUAUUUCCAGCUUGGGGUGGCAGAUAUGUCCUCCCCAUAACUCAGGCUUACCAUCGAGGCUUAUAACUUCUUGCCAUUCCAGUUCCAUAAGCCAGUUUGAUAACGCUUACAGGGUAUCAUAUGUAGCCCAGCCAUUUCUGGAUAUAUAUUUUUUAUUUCUUGCUGCAUCACACACCUAUUUUCUGAUUCAGUGUAGCAGGACUUGCUACCAUUUAUCACAACGAGCACUGGAAUCUCUCUUCUGGAAGUGAGAAAACUGAAGUGAAGAGAGGCUGCAGAAUUGAUCUAAGGCUAGCAGGACUUACUGUUGAAGUCUAUCAUGGACCAAAGGUCUCAAACCAGUAAUCUUUUUUAUAAUUCCUGCUGUAGCUCAUGCAAUGCUAAUACUUUCUGUAAUGCUAAUUAUGUCAUUUGAAUUAAAUUUAAAGGUUCUUUAGAAACCUUUUUAAGACAGGUGAAUCCUGUUUUAAUAGGGUAAUGAUUACUUUGUAACCUUAUAG
rnacentral:lncRNA from 10 species